UUCCUCCGACUCUACAUAAUUGCCAGAAGCUUGAAGUUUUAUUUCUUUAUGGAAACAAAUUAAAUGGUAGCAUACCUAAAGAUUUAGGCAUGUUACCAAGGGUUCGCGAAAUAGACCUUAGUUUAAACUAUCUUAUGGGUACAAUUCCAUCGUCCCUCGGCAAUAUGUCAUCAUUAGAGUUCUUGACUUUGGAAGCCAAUAGCCUCACCAAUGCAUUUCCUCUUGUCAUCUUUAACUUGUCUUCUCUAAAGAAUAUUGCUAUUACAGAAAAUAACCUCUCAGGAACCCUUCCGGUGGAUCUUUGUAGCCAUUGUCCUAAUCUUCAAGAACUGUAUAUUUCCAAAAACAAAUUCAGCGGUAAGCUCCCCUCACAGUUUAAUAACUGCAGAGAGCUUUUAGAAUUAUCUCUAUCAUACAAUAUGUUUGAUGGAAGUAUUUCAAAAGGUUUUGGGAGUUUAAAAAAGCUUGAAGUCCUCUAUCUUGGAAGUAACAACUUAAUUGGAAACAUUCCUCCUAUCAUAAGCAAUUUAUCGAUGUUACAACAGUUUGGUGCUGGAAGUAACAACAUUAAAGGAAGCGUGCCAGGUGAUUUAUGGCGUCUCCAAAAUCUGAAUGAAUUGGAAAUUGGUGAUAACGAUCUCACUGGGACAAUACCCCAAAAUAUUUUCAACAUUACCUCUCUACAAGUACUCCAAUUGUCGUUUAAUUCCUUGUCUGGAAAUCUUUCAUUCGAUACUAGGAUCCCUUGCCCUAAUCUUGAAAUCUUGUAUCUUGGUGUCAACAACAUUAGCGGUCGUAUCCCAUCAUAUCUUUCAAAUUGUUCCAACCUCAUCCGAGUAGAUUUAUCUGCAAAUUUACUCUCUGGGCCUAUACCUAGAAGUCUUGGAAACUUAAAAUAUCUCAAACUCUUGGGUCUAGGUGAUAAUCAACUAACAGAGGAGUCUGGGCAUCAAGAACAUAGUUUUCUUACAUCUUUAACCAGUUGCACAUCUUUAGAGAGGCUAUAUAUUGACCUCAAUCCCUUGAAUAUUACAAUUCCGGAAACCAUUGGAAAUUUUUCAGCUUCCCUUAAACACAUUGGUGCAAGUCAAAGCCAAAUAAAGGGUCAAAUUCCAAUGGGAAUCGGUUCCUUGAAAAAUUUGACCUUGCUUGAUUUGAGCUAUAACAAUUUGUCCGGAAAUUUACCGUCAACAUUAGGGGGAUUAGAGGAAUUGCAAAGAUUGCAUCUUAGAGGCAAUAAUAUUGGAGGAAACAUUCCAGAAGAGCUUUGUCAGCUAAUCAAGCUGGGAGAGCUAUUUCUCUCAAAUAACAAAAUUUCUGGACCCAUCCCGAAUUGCAUUGGAAACCUCAAUCUUUUGCAGAGAUUAAACUUGAGUUAUAACAAACUGACAUCAUCAAUCCCGUUGAAUGUGUGGAAUCUUGAAAAUUUGUUGUUCUUGGAUUUAUCAUCAAAUUCCCUCUAUGGAUCUUUGUCUCCAAACAUGAAAAAACUCAGAGCUAUUGAGUACUUGAAUUUAUCUCAUAACCAAAUUACUGGAAAAGUUCCAAGUAUCAUUGGUGCUUUUGAAAGUCUUAGUAAUCUUGAUUUGUCAAAGAAUUCAUUUCAAGGAGACAUUCCAGAUUCUUUUGGGCAAAUGAAAGGAAUGGAUCUGCUGGACCUCUCUAACAAUAAUCUCUCAGGUGCAAUUCCUAAGUCUCUGGAGGCACUUCGAUUUCUCAAGUAUUUGAAUUUGUCAUUCAAUAAGUUAUCAGGAGAGAUACCAUCUGGUGGACCUUUUGCAAACUUCAAGGCAAGAUCAUUUUUAGGUAAUGAAGCACUUUGUGGGAAUUCAAUUUUUGGAGUUCCACCUUGCACGAGUCCCAGUUCUAAAGGAGCAAGGAUGAAACAACUUUUGCUCAAAUAUAUUAUUCCCAGCAUGGCAUCAAUUAUAAUCUUUGCAAUGCUUGUCAUUAUGCUAAGAAGACAUCCACAAUAUAACAUGCAAAUUCCAAGUUCACUUUUCACAUUACCUACAGUGGAUUGGAGAAUGAUAUCAUAUCAAGAACUUUGUCGUGGGACAAACAACUUUUGUGAAAGCAACUUGCUUGGAAUUGGAGGGUUUGGUACUGUGUACAAAGGGAUACUGUCUGAUGGGACUACUGUUGCUGUAAAAGUUCUAAACCUGCAUUUGGAGGAUGCUUUUAAAAGUUUUGAUGCUGAAUGCAAGGUGUUAAGGGCAUUACGACAUAGGAAUCUAGUUAAAGUCAUUAGUGUAUGCUCCAAUCCCCAGUUUAAAGCUUUGGUGUUGCAGUACAUGUCAAAUUAUAGCCUUGAAAAGUGGAUAUACUCUCACAACUACUGCUUGAAUCUUGUUCAAAGAGUAGGCAUUAUGGUUGAUGUUGCAUCGGCAUUAGAUUAUCUCCAUAAUGGUCAAUUAGAAUCCGUGGUGCAUUGUGAUUUGAAGCCAAGCAAUAUUCUUUUGGAUGAGGACAUGGUUGCACAUGUUGGAGACUUUGGCAUUGCAAAGAUUUUAGCUGAAAACAAGGACGCAACCCAAACCAGAACCAUUGGUACAAUUGGCUACAUCGCACCAGAGUAUGGUUCUGAAGGGAGAGUAUCCACCAAAUGUGACAUUUAUAGCUAUGGGAUAAUAUUGUUGGAGAUGAUCACAAGAAAAAAACCUACCGAUGAAAUGUUUGUUGGAGAACUAGGUAUGAGGCAAUGGAUUGCUUCACUUCCUGACAGAAUGGAAGUUGUGGACGAUGGUUUGCUUUGUAUAGAAGAUGGAAGAGAUGUAACUGUCAUGCAAACUAUCCUUUCAUCUAUCUUGGAAUUAGGCUUGAGGUGUUCUGAAGAAUUACCAGAUGAAAGACUUGAAAUCAAGGACGUGGUGGCCAAGGUUAACAAAAUCAAAUUGGCACUACUUGGAAACAGAAAUAGGGGUGUCUGAUAUUUACGCUAUUGCUCAAGUUUUUUCUCAAGAUAUGAGGAGGAGAUGAAGUCUGCAGCAGAUUUUGUGGAACCCGCCAAGCUUUACACAGCCAAACCCCAUGGCUCUCUCUUUUGAUUUUCCUUUGAUGUGUGCACUGUUGAGAUUGUUUGUGACUUUGUAUUUCUGGAAUGUGGUUUUGAUUUAGCUUUCAACAUGGGUUUGGAAAUGAGGUAGUCUUUGUGGUGGCAGUUUGUUGAAGAAAGUUGGGUUUUGGAAUAGAUUAGUGUAAGAAAGGCGAAGACAUGUUGGGUCUUUUAAUUGAAUUUUUUUUAUAAUUGCAAUCUGUUAUAAGUUCUGUCAUUUGUAUUUGUCAAAGACUAAAUUAUUGUUAAAUGGUGCAUAAAAAAUAAUUUUUUCUUACCAACUCCUGGUUAAUUAACACUUACUUGAUAGUGGCUACUAGCUACUUUAUAUUUGUUAGGGGUGUCUCUUUCUUUAGAGAAUUUAUUAGCUGAAUGCAAUUACUUUCCCCUGUAUUCUGUAUGAUAGGAGGCUUUGUAUUGUUUUUAAUUUCGGUAUAAUAAAAAUAUGAAAUUAAUAAAAGGCACCUUUAAUACUUCACUAUUUUGUAUUGGCGAGGAUGGUUGUUUUCUGAUUUAAGAAAUGAGCUUGGUUGGUUCUAUUAGUACUUUACCAUUUAGUAUUGAUGAGUUUACCACUUAACUGAGUUUAUUGUUAUCUUCAGGCCAAUUAAUUUUGGGAAGUUUCUAAGUCAAUUAUAGUACUUUUGAUUGUUGAGUUUUUUUAGUCAUUAUUCUUUCUUUGUCUCUAAAAAAAUCAGGUUUCCUUUAUGUUUAAAUAUCUUCUAUUUUCUGUUUGGUAAUAUAUUCUUUUGAUAUACAAUAUAGGCUUUACCUUUUGGUGCUUAUCUUACAUGCAUCCCAUGUUCUAGGAUUGUGCCCUGCAUUGCGCCUUUUCUAAGAAAAUGUUUUACCUAUAAAAAUACAAAGUAGCAUACAAUGUAUACUUCUUUUUAGGGGGAUGUCUUCAUUUUCAUUUGUUGGCUAAUGUGUGUCCUCUCUCAUCGUCUCGUGCUCAGCUUCCUCCCAAUGCAGGUACAUCAAUUAUUGAUGGCUUGAAGAGAUUGUACAUUGAAAAGCCAAAGCCACUAGAAGUUGCAUAUAUUUUAUUUGGCUAGUUCCAUAUUAAUCUUUUAAACUAGAGGCUGUGGUUUGCAAAAUGGAGAUAUUUAGAUCUUUCUAGUUUUGCUGUCAAGUGUACACUCUAGAUUUUAAGGCCUCUGUAGCAGAGGAUUGAUUUUUAUUUGCAUUUUUGCAGACAAAUAGUGAUUUUGAUGCUAAACCCAUGGUCUUUUGGGUCAAUAUUCAACUGGAAAGACAACUUUUAUAAAACAUUUGCUAAAAAUGAACUACCCAGAUGCUCACAUUGGACCAGAGCCUACAACAGAUGGAUUUGUUGUUGUUAUGGUUGAUAUGCGCAAGAAUGCUCAUUCGUGUGGACUUUCCGAUAGAUUUGAUUGGUUGUCGUUUCCCCUUUGUUGUGGUAGCUUAUUGUCUCCAAUUUUGUUGACUCCAUAUUUUGAAAAUUUUAGUCAUCCUCCUUUUUGUUUAA